GUGGGGAAUUUUGGACAAUGGGCGAAAGCCUGAUCCAGCAAUGCCGCGUGCAGGAUGAAGGCCCUCGGGUUGUAAACUGCUUUUGUACGGAACGAAAAGCCUGGGGCUAAUAUCCCCGGGUCAUGACGGUACCGUAAGAAUAAGCACCGGCUAACUACGUGCCAGCAGCCGCGGUAAUACGUAGGUUGCAAGCGUUAAUCGGAAUUACUGGGCGUAAAGCGUGCGCAGGCGGUUUUGUAAGAAAGUGGUGAAAUCACCGGGCUCAACCUGGGAACUGCCAUUGUGACUGCAAGGCUAGAGUGCGGCAGAGGGGGAUGGAAUUCCGCGUGUAGCAGUGAAAUGCGUAGAUAUGCGGAGGAACACCGAUGGCGAAGGCAAUCCCCUGGGCCUGCACUGACGCUCAUGCACGAAAGCGUGGGGAGCAAACAGGAUUAGAUACCCGAGUAGUCC
rnacentral:rRNA from 1 species